AGAAAGUUUGUUUGGGUUUUUC
rnacentral:miRNA from 1 species